rnacentral:rRNA from 1 species
CCUACGGGGGGCAGCAGUGAGGAAUAUUGGUCAAUGGACGAGAGUCUGAACCAGCCAAGUAGCGUGAAGGAUGACUGCCCUAUGGGUUGUAAACUUCUUUUAUAAAGGAAUAAAACGAGGCACGUGUGCCUUUUUGCAUGUACUUUAUGAAUAAGGAUCGGCUAACUCCGUGCCAGCAGCCGCGGUAAUACGGAGGAUCCGAGCGUUAUCCGGAUUUAUUGGGUUUAAAGGGAGCGUAGAUGGGUUGUUAAGUCAGUUGUGAAAGUUUGCGGCUCAUCCGUAAAAUUGCAAUUGAUACUGGCAGUCGUGAGUACAGUUGAGGUAGGCGGAAUUCGUGGUGUAGCGGUGAAAUGCUUAGAUAUCACGAAGAACCCCGAUUGCGAAGGCAGCUUACUAAACUGUGACUGACAUUGAUGCUCGAAAGUGUGGGUAUCAAACAGGAUUAGAUACCCCGGUAGUC